rnacentral:misc_RNA from 1 species
UCCGAGUUGACCCCGGCAGUCUCCCAUGAGUCCCCGGCAUAACCCGCUGGCAACAUGGAACGAGGGUUGCGCUCGUUGCGGGACUUAACCCAACAUCUCACGACGCGAGCUGACGACAACCAUGCACCACCUGUAAACCGGCCACAAGUGGCCGACACAUCUCUGCGCCGUUCCGGUUCAUGUCAAGCCUUGGUAAGGUGGGGAUGACGUUUUCUACG